rnacentral:rRNA from 1 species
GAUGAACGCUGGCGGCGUGCCUAAUACAUGCAAGUCGAGCGGAAAGGCCUCUUCGGAGGUACUCGAGCGGCGGACGGCUGAGUAACACGUAGGAACAUACCCUAAAGUGAGAGAUAACUGCUCGAAAGAGUAGCUAAUACCGCAUGUGGUCUUCGGAUUAAAGCUUCGGCGCUUUGGGAAUGGCCUGCGUCUGAUUAGCUAGAUGGUGAGGUAAUGGCUCACCAUGGCGACGAUCAGUAGCUGGUCUGAGAGGAUGAUCAGCCAGACUGGGACUGAGACACGGCCCAGACUCCUACGGGAGGCAGCAGUAGGGAAUUUUCCACAAUGGGCGAAAGCCUGAUGGAGCAACGCCGCGUGCAGGAUGAAUGCCUUCGGGUUGUAAACUGCUUUUAUAUGUGACGAAUAUGACGGUAGCAUAUGAAUAAGGAUCGGCUAACUCCGUGCCAGCCGCCGCUGUAA